rnacentral:misc_RNA from 1 species
UUUCCGUAGGUGAACCUGCGGAAGGAUCAUUCACAAUAGGUGAUUUAUGGCAUUUAUUAAACAAUCCGUAUCCACCGUAUGUUCAAGGUUAUGAGAGCCCCUAUCGUGAUCUCUUAGGUGAAGGAAGGGGGAACCCCGAGAACGUCCAAAAAUCAUCGUUAACUUAUUUAUAUGAACAUUUGUUAUAUAGAUUUAACUUAAUUAGAAAAUACAACUACCAACAACGGAUCUCUUGGCUCGCGGAUGAAUGAAGAACGCAGGAAAACGGAACGGCAGAAG